CUUGGGAAAACCAAUUCUAACAAAUUUGCACGCGAUUUGACAUGUCGAAUCCAUAAAAGCGCUUCAAACGAUUGGAUUAUGGGUGUGAACGUCGAGCCACAGCCGCAGCCAGCGGAACUCAAUUGCCAAAUUGAGAUUCAGACCUUUUAAACUGAUUACGAGCCGGUCCACGCUAUCAAUUGCAAAUUUAUUUCCCCCGCACCACCCAAAAAAAAACAAAACCCUUUUCGGGAGCUUACCUUCGUCCUUGACCUGGCCCUGACUUUGCAUUUGUGGAAAUCGAGUGGGAAAGUCGGGACUUGACUCAUCACGCAAGUCCCGCCACCUUUUUUGUGGCAAACAAAUCAGCAAGUUUACGAGCUGAAUUGCAAAUACCGCGUUGGCAUCGGAAAGUCUUUGACGUUCUUGCUUACGAAGCAGACCCACUCCACCCACUCGUUCAAAACUGGGGCAGUGCUUGUCAAAUGGCAGCUGUAAACUAAAUGCUUUAUAUUCAUUUAUUCCGGAGCAUAAACAAUGUGAACAUCCUCGACAAACCGGAAGACUUCAUGAGCUCCUUGUGCCUGGAUAUUUAUGUAUGUAUGUACAUAUAUGUACAUAUAUGUAUAUGUGGUGCAGCAGUAGUGAAUGUGCGUGUGUGUAAGUGUGCGUAAUGCCGUGAUGCCAUGGUUAAUGCAUGUGCAACAGGAUGCUCUUCCAUUUGCGGUUGCCUCAUCCGAGGAAAUUAGUUGCUCAUAGUCGAGGCAUCCGCCCAAGAGAGAGAUGUUGGGAGUGAAAAAGCGACAUCCUUCUAUUCCGAAUUCGCUUCUAUUAGCGAAAUAUAUGUAUAAUAUAAUAUGUUCGAUAUGCACAAUAGCCCUAAAAAGUUUCAUCUUUAAAGCAAUUUUUGAUCCAAACGGGAAAAGAACCUAGCAUCUGCAAGCCGAAGUAUAACAACUUGCUGUAAUUAUACAUAAUUUUAAGAACGAGUUAUGAUUAAAACAGUAAACAUUUGGUUCUUCUAAUAA